rnacentral:rRNA from 1 species
UGGGGAAUAUUGCACAAUGGGGGAAACCCUGAUGCAGCGACGCCGCGUGAGGGAAGACGGUUUUCGGAUUGUAAACCUCUGUCUCUGGUGAAGAUAAUGACGGUAACCAGAGAGGAAGCCACGGCUAACUACGUGCCAGCAGCCGCGGUAAUACGUAGGUGGCAAGCGUUGUCCGGAAUUACUGGGCGUAAAGCGCACGCAGGCGGCGUGACGCGUCAGAAGUGAAAUCCCCGGGCUCAACCUGGGAACUGCUUUUGAAACGGUCAUGCUUGAAUCAUGGAGAGGGUAGCGGAAUUCCGAGUGUAGAGGUGAAAUUCGUAGAUAUUCGGAAGAACACCGGUGGCGAAGGCGGCUACCUGGCCAUGUAUUGACGCUCAGGUGCGAAAGCGUGGGGAGCAAACA